AGGGGGUUGGUUUCUACAAAACGUUUUGUUAUUUUAUUUUGUAUUUUAAAAGCGGAUAAUUGAAUGGCUUUCACAAAAAAUUCGAUUACGGAUAAAAGAGAAAUUUUGUUAUUUUUAUACACUCAUAUUUUACUGUAUGCAAUUAAAAUUUGGUUUAGUUAGAAACUAAUAUUGGGUCUAUUCGAUAAUCGUGUUGUUGAAAAACGAUAAGUCGAAAAAAGAAAAAAAAAGUGAUUAAAAUUUUUAGCAUCAGAACACAGAACUGUCUGUCGUUCUUUUUUUAGCAAGCAAAGUACUCUCGUUUCGUGGCUCCGGCAUUUUGCUUUUCCAAGAAGUGCUUAGGUGUUAUCAGAACAGGCGGAAUCGAUAACCAUGGACAUGGUACUGGUGCCACCCAUCCGAAAUAGAACCAAGAAAGACCAUCCAGGUCCGGUAGAACAUCAUUCCGGUAAAGUCGAAGCUUGCCAUCGUGCCUACUCACGGUUAUGGAAAACUGAUAUGUAGCAGUCGGAGAUGGCGGUGUACUACCAGUAUCCGGAAGCUGAGGGAAAUUAAGGAAGCGAGACGGGCCCUUUAACCUGCAUUUGGGAAGCAAACCAGACAUACGCAUUUUUAUCCUUACCAACGGAAUGGUCGUCCCCAAUGCCAGCCGGAAUGGUAGGUAAUUUCAAUUGACAUUGGUGUUUGUAGAAGAAAUAUGUGAAUAAAGAAUAUAAUUUAA